ACUAACUUGAUGUAAUUGCUUACAGCAUGCUCAGUGUGCACUAACUUGAUGUAAUUGCUUACAACUGAGCAUGCUGUAAGCAAUUACAUCAAGUUAGUG
rnacentral:pre_miRNA from 1 species